UGGUCGUUUUCUCCCCGAUAAAGCUGGUUCUGAGUGCAAUCAUUGUAGAUUCGGCAUCACGAUAAUAUCCGAGCGAGAGUUGAUGUUGAGAAUUCAGAACAAGUGGAGAUUGAGAUAUUCUUCCUCAAUGCACCUGUCAUAGUAAUUGUACAAGGGUUACGUUGCCAGCGAAAUGUGUAAUCACGCGGGUUCUCCAUGAUUUCUACGCUAUGUCAAAUUCAAAUUCGCCUAAAACAAAGACAAACAGCCUAUUGGAUAAUUUACGAAAAUUUCGAUUUCAGAAAAAACCAGUGAUAAAAAUGAAUACGUCAGAUGAAGACAGCAACCUUAUGGGUCCGGAGAACCAAAUGCGUCGAAAAUCAGUAAAUAGGAUCGAAGAUAGUGACAGCGAUGUCGGCAGUCCUACCAAGUUACAAAAUCCACUGUCACAUGAUGACAAUGGAUCAGAAACCAAAGAGAGAGAGGACAAAUUAAAAUACCUGACAACGUUAUAUCCUCGCUUUGAUGCUGCACACAUUCGUGAGGCGCUGAGCAACUCAAACUGGCAGACAGAUGAAGCAGAGAACCAGCUUAGAAAUAAUAAAAAACGUGUAAACAGCAAAUCACUGUCCAAUAGAGUAAAGCGUCGCAGAGUUGAUCAUGACGAGGAAGGUGACGUUGAUUCGGAUGAAGCAAAUUACAACAAUAAAGUUUUUGAUAGUGAUGAAGACUCAGACUUGGAGCUUUCCAACGAGUUAACUGGAGACAAAAAAAGGGUACUGGAGUUCAUGCAAACUGCAACUUUGCAAGAAUUGCUAAUGAUGUCCAAGUGUUCCCAAAAAAAAGCUAAUGCCAUUCUGCAGGCUAGACCAUUUGAAGACUGGAGAGACUUGGUGCAGAAGUUCCAAAGUUAUAAGCAUCUAGAUACAGACCUUUUGAAUUCAGCUCAGUCACUCCUAGCAGCACGCAAUGUGAUAGAGAACCUGAUGAAAAAGUGCCUUCGACUUUCAUCUAACAUGGAGAGGGCUGUAGCAGCUGGGGCUACAAACAUUACACAGCAACCCAAGACACUGUCGGCUGACCUGACUCUAGCUCCCUAUCAAAUGAUUGGAUUGAAUUGGCUGGCUGUGUUACAUGUACAAAAGCUUAAUGGAAUUCUGGCCGACGAAAUGGGACUGGGAAAAACUGUUCAAGUUAUAGCAUUUCUCACUUACCUCAAGGAGACUGGAUUAGCGAUGGAAGGGGCUGGGCCUCAUUUAAUCGUUGUGCCUAGUUCAACCAUAGAAAACUGGAUGAACGAAUUAGAGCGAUGGUCUCCAGGUUUAAAUGUAGUUGGAUACUAUGGGUCACAAGAUGAGCGAAAGGAUAUGCGAAUGGGCUGGCGUAGUGGUGAGUUGGAAGAUGUUGACAUCAUUUUAACAACAUAUGCCCUAGUAAGUAGCACGAGUGAGGACCGGCGGCUCUUCAGAGUGAUGCCAUUACAUUAUGUGGUCUUUGAUGAAGCACAUAUGCUCAAAAAUAUGGGAACUAUUAGAUACGAGAAUCUCAUUCGAAUCAAUGCAAAAAAUAGAAUUUUGAUAACUGGUACCCCUAUGCAGAACAAUUUACUUGAACUGGUGUCGUUGUUAGUAUUUGUAAUGCCGUCGAUGUUUGCGGGCAAACUAGAAGAUCUGAAGAGCCUUUUUCCCAAAAAUGCUAAGCCAGUGUCCGGCAAAGAUAGCAUUAAUCAGUCAACAUUUGAGCGCGAUCAAGUAUCCACCACUAAACAGAUCAUUAAACCGUUUAUCCUGCGCCGACUAAAGUCUGAAGUGCUGCGAGAUUUACCACUAAAAACGGAGAAGCUGAUUAAGUGUACCUUAGAAAAAUCACAGCACGAGUUGUACCAAAAUUUGAUCGCAGAAUUUAGCGCUGAAGCUGAUGAAAAUAAUGAAGUUAAUGGUACUGGUAUGAUGAUGCAGCUCAGAAAGCUGGCCAAUCAUCCCUUACUCAUUAGAAACUAUUAUGAUGAAGAGAAGUUGAAGGGCAUAUCAACAAAACUGGCCAAAGAUACAACGUACAAACAAAAAAAUCCAGACUAUGUAUUUGAGGAGUUAUUAUGGAUGUCUGACUUCCAAAUAAACCAACUAACAAGACUACACAAAUGUUUGGAUGGAAAAAGUUUACCUAAGGAAUUGAUACCAAAGUCUGGGAAAUUAGAGAAAUUUGAUGAAAUUUUACCACAACUAAAAGCGGAAGGACACAGAGUUUUAAUAUUUAGUCAAUUCACAAUGGUCCUGGAUAUCCUUGAAGAGUACAUGAUGAUGCGGAAACAUAAAUAUUCAAGACUAGAUGGACAGACACCGGUCACAGAAAGACAAAUUUUGAUUGACAAGUUUACUCGGGAUCCAGAUAUAUUUAUAUUUUUACUAUCAACAAGAGCUGGUGGAUUGGGAAUAAACCUGACUGCAGCAGAUACAGUUAUUAUCCAUGAUCUGGACUUCAACCCGUACAAUGACAAGCAAGCGGAAGAUCGAUGUCACAGAGUCGGGCAAACUAGGCCAGUCACUAUAAUAAGAUUACUUAGUGAAGAUACAAUAGAAGAGGGUAUGUGGGAGAUGGCACAGGGAAAACUUAAGUUGGAAAAACAAAUUACUAAUAACGAAGAGGGAGAAAAUACCGACAAGAAGGGUCUUGUCAAGUUACUUAAAAUGGCGUUGGGAUUGGACCCAAACCAUAAAUCCACGCUUUCGCCUACGAAGUCGCCACAUGGUGCUGCGCAACGAGCGAGUACGGGCGAAUAACGAAUAACUGUAAUAUUUAUUUUCUAUGUAAUUAUUUUAUGAAAAGGCAACUCCGUCACGCUGGUUUUUUACUACAAGAGCACUAUGAGUAGUGCUAGGAAGGAAGUAGUCGAUAAAACAGACUCCAACCUCGUUGGCAGACCCCACUUUUCCCAACCAUGUACUUGUGUGUAAGGUGUCAGUGCUAUUCACGAAUCCGCGAAUCCUAUGGAGUCGAAUGUGCAGCUGCGAGCUUGAGUUACAAGUGGACCUAACUGAUGUAAUGAUCGUUACCAUAAUCCGUUGUCACUAAUUAGUUUAUUAACGGUGCAUCGAACGAUCAACAGUUACAUCGUAGAGAUUAAUGUCAACCAGUGUCAACAGCCGGUCAGUGUCAUUGAUCGUGGAUAAUUUAUACAUAUGUAUACAUUCACAUGUAAUUGUGCGGAUAAAAUAAUAUAAUAUGGA